CAGUACCGUGAGGGAAAGGCGAAAAGAACCCCGGCGAGGGGAGUGAAAAAGAACCUGAAACCGUGUACGUACAAGCAGUGGGAGCCUCUUUUAUGGGGUGACUGCGUACCUUUUGUAUAAUGGGUCAGCGACUUAUAUUCUGUAGCAAGGUUAACCGAAUAGGGGAGCCGAAGGGAAACCGAGUCUUAACUGGGCGUUAAGUUGCAGGGUAUAGACCCGAAACCCGGUGAUCUAGCCAUGGGCAGGUUGAAGGUUGGGUAACACUAACUGGAGGACCGAACCGACUAAUGUUGAAAAAUUAGCGGAUGACUUGUGGCUGGGGGUGAAAGGCCAAUCAAACCGGGAGAUAGCUGGUUCUCCCCGAAAGCUAUUUAGGUAGCGCCUCGUGAAUUCAUCUCCGGGGGUAGAGCACUGUUUCGGCAAGGGGGUCAUCCCGACUUACCAACCCGAUGCAAACUGCGAAUACCGGAGAAUGUUAUCACGGGAGACACACGGCGGGUGCUAACGUCCGUCGUGAAGAGGGAAACAACCCAGACCGCCAGCUAAGGUCCCAAAGUCAUGGUUAAGUGGGAAACGAUGUGGGAAGGCCCAGACAGCCAGGAUGUUGGCUUAGAAGCAGCCAUCAUUUAAAGAAAGCGUAAUAGCUCACUGGUCGAGUCGGCCUGCGCGGAAGAUGUAACGGGGCUAAACCAUGCACCGAAGCUGCGGCAGCGACGCUUAUGCGUUGUUGGGUAGGGGAGCGUUCUGUAAGCCUGUGAAGGUGUGCUGUGAGGCAUGCUGGAGGUAUCAGAAGUGCGAAUGCUGACAUAAGUAACGAUAAAGCGGGUGAAAAGCCCGCUCGCCGGAAGACCAAGGGUUCCUGUCCAACGUUAAUCGGGGCAGGGUGAGUCGACCCCUAAGGCGAGGCCGAAAGGCGUAGUCGAUGGGAAACAGGUUAAUAUUCCUGUACUUGGUGUUACUGCGAAGGGGGGACGGAGAAGGCUAUGUUGGCCGGGCGACGGUUGUCCCGGUUUAAGCGUGUAGGCUGGUUUUCCAGGCAAAUCCGGAAAAUCAAGGCUGAGGCGUGAUGACGAGGCACUACGGUGCUGAAGCAACAAAUGCCCUGCUUCCAGGAAAAGCCUCUAAGCAUCAGGUAACAUCAAAUCGUACCCCAAACCGACACAGGUGGUCAGGUAGAGAAUACCAAGGCGCUUGAGAGAACUCGGGUGAAGGAACUAGGCAAAAUGGUGCCGUAACUUCGGGAGAAGGCACGCUGAUAUGUAGGUGAGGUCCCUCGCGGAUGGAGCUGAAAUCAGUCGAAGAUACCAGCUGGCUGCAACUGUUUAUUAAAAACACAGCACUGUGCAAACACGAAAGUGGACGUAUACGGUGUGACGCCUGCCCGGUGCCGGAAGGUUAAUUGAUGGGGUUAGCGGUAACGCGAAGCUCUUGAUCGAAGCCCCGGUAAACGGCGGCCGUAACUAUAACGGUCCUAAGGUAGCGAAAUUCCUUGUCGGGUAAGUUCCGACCUGCACGAAUGGCGUAAUGAUGGCCAGGCUGUCUCCACCCGAGACUCAGUGAAAUUGAACUCGCUGUGAAGAUGCAGUGUACCCGCGGCAAGACGGAAAGACCCCGUGAACCUUUACUAUAGCUUGACACUGAACAUUGAGCCUUGAUGUGUAGGAUAGGUGGGAGGCUUUGAAGUGUGGACGCCAGUCUGCAUGGAGCCGACCUUGAAAUACCACCCUUUAAUGUUUGAUGUUCUAACGUUGACCCGUAAUCCGGGUUGCGGACAGUGUCUGGUGGGUAGUUUGACUGGGGCGGUCUCCUCCUAAAGAGUAACGGAGGAGCACGAAGGUUGGCUAAUCCUGGUCGGACAUCAGGAGGUUAGUGCAAUGGCAUAAGCCAGCUUGACUGCGAGCGUGACGGCGCGAGCAGGUGCGAAAGCAGGUCAUAGUGAUCCGGUGGUUCUGAAUGGAAGGGCCAUCGCUCAACGGAUAAAAGGUACUCCGGGGAUAACAGGCUGAUACCGCCCAAGAGUUCAUAUCGACGGCGGUGUUUGGCACCUCGAUGUCGGCUCAUCACAUCCUGGGGCUGAAGUAGGUCCCAAGGGUAUGGCUGUUCGCCAUUUAAAGUGGUACGCGAGCUGGGUUUAGAACGUCGUGAGACAGUUCGGUCCCUAUCUGCCGUGGGCGCUGGAGAACUGAGGGGGGCUGCUCCUAGUACGAGAGGACCGGAGUGGACGCAUCACUGGUGUUCGGGUUGUCAUGCCAAUGGCACUGCCCGGUAGCUAAAUGCGGAAGAGAUAAGUGCUGAAAGCAUCUAAGCACGAAACUUGCCCCGAGAUGAGUUCUCCCUGACUCCUUGA
rnacentral:rRNA from 1 species